CUCCUGACGGAAAGUGGUGAGGCACUCCAACACCUUGUCCUGCAUGGCAGCGGCAACCGGCCCACUGCUGGCCCCUGCAAGGCUGUCCAUGAGCUGCAGGAUCACAUCUCCCAUCUGCCUGCAGACUGCAAAGAGGAGAAUGGAGCGUCUCCCCGAAGGAGUGCCAUAAAGUCCUUGACCGGGGAGGCCGUGGUCACCUGGGUCACCUGGUGCUGUACUAGGUCACUGGCACUCAAGCUGUCAUCCACCUUGGCCCUCUUCUCACCACCAUCCUUCUUGUCCUCACUAUGUUCAUAACAAGUCCACAUGAGAUGAUGCUAUUUUAUCACCAUUUGAAACUAUGGUAAUAAUAUAUACCCACACCUUUCUCUC